rnacentral:sRNA from 1 species
UGGUGGUCAGGUUCAU